rnacentral:rRNA from 1 species
AGAGUUUGAUCCUGGCUCAGAACGAACGCUGGUAGCGUGGAUUAGGCAUGCAAGUCGAACGGGAUCACCUGGAUAGCAAUAUUCGGGUGUGAGAGUGGCGGAUUGGGGAGGAACACGUGAACAACCUGCCCGUGAGUUGGGGAAAACCAUUGGAAACGAUGGCUAAUAUCCGAUGUGGCGCCCGAGGACAUCCUCGGAACGCUAAAGGGGGCCGCAAGGCUCCCGCUCGUGGAGGGGUUCGCGCACCAUCAGCUUGUUGGCGGGGUAACGGCCCACCAAGGCCUACGGUUAGCUGGUCUGAGAGGAUGACCAGCCCCACUGGGACUGAGAUACUGCCCAGACUCCUACGGGAGGCUGCAGUCGAGGAUCAUUUGCAAUGGGCGAAAGCCUGACAAUGCGACGCUGCGUGGAGGAUGAAGGCCUUCGGGUUGUAAACUCCUGUCAUAGGGGAACAGGCGAUCCGACCCAAUACGUCGGUGAGUUGAGUGUACCCUAAGAGGAAUUGGCGGCUAACUCUGUGCCAGCAGCCGCGGUAAUACAGAGGCCAAGAGCGUUGUUCGGAUUUACUGGGCGUAAAGGGCGCGUAGGCGGUCUUGCGUGUCAAGUGUGAAAUCUCCGGGCUCAACCCGGAAAGUGCGCUUGAAACUACAGGACUCGAGUCUGGGAGAGGGAAUCGGAAUAUAGGGUGUAGCGGUGAAAUGCGUUGAUAUCCUAUAGAACACCGGAGGCGAAGGCGGAUUCCUUGAACGGUACUGACGCUGAGGCGCGAAAGUCGGGGGAGCAAACAGGAUUAGAUACCCUGGUAGUCCCGACCUUAAACGGUGCACACUCGGGGGUGGGGCCAUUUCCCCGGCCC